rnacentral:rRNA from 1 species
UGAACGCUAGCGACAGGCCUAACACAUGCAAGUCGAGGGGUAUUGGGUCUUCGGACCCGAGAGACCGGCGCACGGGUGCGUAACGCGUAUGUAACCUGCCUUACACCGGGGGAUAGCCUUCCGAAAGGGAGAUUAAUACCGCAUAAUAUUAUAUAGCCACCUGGUUGUAUAAUUAAAACUUCGGUGGUGUAAGAUGGACAUGCGUAUGAUUAGCUAGUUGGCGGGGUAACGGCCCACCAAGGCGACGAUCAUUAGGGGUUCUGAGAGGAAGGUCCCCCCACACUGGUACUGAGACACGGACCAGACUCCUACGGGAGGCAGCAGUGAGGAAUAUUGGUCAAUGGACGGAAGUCUGAACCAGCCAUGGUUCCGCGUGCAGGAUGACUGCCCUAUGGGUUGUAAACUGCUUUUGUAUGGGAAGAAAGUGGGGUACGUGUACGCCUUUGCCGGUACCAUACGAAUAAAGAUCGGCUAACUCCGUGCCAGCCGCCGC